UCUGAAGAGGGAAACAAAGAAGCCAGCAA
rnacentral:piRNA from 1 species